rnacentral:rRNA from 1 species
AUUGCCCCAGUAACGGCGAGUGAAGCGGCAACAGCUCAAAUUUGAAAUCUGGUCCUCACGGGCCCGAGUUGUAAUUUGUAGAGGAUGCUUUUGGUGCGGCGCCGCCCGAGUUCCCUGGAACGGGACGCCAUAGAGGGUGAGAGCCCCGUCUGGCUGGACGCCAAGCCUCUGUAAAGCUCCUUCGACGAGUCGAGUAGUUUGGGAAUGCUGCUCUAAAUGGGAGGUAUAUGUCUUCUAAAGCUAAAUAUUGGCCAGAGACCGAUAGCGCACAAGUAGAGUGAUCGAAAGAUGAAAAGCACUUUGAAAAGAGGGUUAAACAGUACGUGAAAUUGUUGAAAGGGAAGCGCUCGUGACCAGACUUGGGCUUGGCGAAUCAUCCAGGGUUCUCCCUGGUGCACUUUGCCUCGCCCAGGCCAGCAUCAGUUCGCCGCGGGGGACAAAGGCGUCGGGAACGUGGCUCCCUCGGGAGUGUUAUAGCCCGUCGCGCAAUACCCUGGGGCGGACUGAGGUUCGCGCAUCUGCAAGGAUGCUGGCGUAAUGGUCAUCGGCGACCCGUCUUGAAACACGGACCAAGGAGUCGUCCUCGUAUGCGAGUGUUCGGGUGUCAAACCCCUACGCGUAAUGAAAGUGAACGCAGGUGAGAGCUUCGGCGCAUCAUCGACCGAUCCUGAUGUUCUCGGAUGGAUUUGAGUAAGAGCAUACGGGGCCGGACCCGAAAGAAGGUGAACUAUGCCUGUAUAGGGUGAAGCCAGAGGAAACUCUGGUGGAGGCUCGCAGCGGUUCUGACGUGCAAAUCGAUCGUCAAAUAUGGGCAUGGGGGCGAAAGACUAAUCGAA